AGGUUGUGCUUUAAUUUAUUGAUUAAAAAGCACUCAGUCAGUUGUCAUGGAUACCUAGGCUUUGAAUGGGACGAUUGGCAAACAUGGCUUCAGAAAAGAGCAGUACAGAAGAAGAAAUUUUAAAAAGUAUCAAUGAUCUCAAGAAGAAAAUUCAGCUCUCAGAGGGCCAGCGAAAGGCCAAAUUCGAGCUGUGCGGCAUUGAAAAGAAGAAAAACACGGACAAGAUCAAUCAAUUAAAAAAUGAACUGAAAGAGUUGUGUGCCAAUUUGGGAAAGCCCAUCAAAAGUGAGGAAAUUUUUAAUCAGAGAGCAAAGAGUGCAAAGGCUGAUUUCUUCCCGCUCAGCAAUAAGAGGCCGGAUGAAGCGCUCGACGUAAUUGAAUACAGGAUCAUCGAACUAAACAAGAAACUGGAUUUGAAAAUAUACCAGCGACGUAAGGUAA